AUACGGAGGGGGCUAGCGUUGUUCGGAAUUACUGGGCGUAAAGCGUACGUAGGCGGACUGAUCAGUUGGGGGUGAAAUCCCAGGGCUUAACCCUGGAACUGCCUUCAAUACUGUCAGUCUUGAGUUUGGGAGAGGUGAGUGGAAUUCCUAGUGUAGAGGUGAAAUUCAUAGAUAUUAGGAGGAACACCAGUGGCGAAGGCGGCUCACUGGCCCAUUACUGACGCUGAGGUACGAAAGCGUGCGGAGCAAACAGGAUUAGAUACCCUAGUAGUCC
rnacentral:rRNA from 1 species